rnacentral:rRNA from 2 species
UGUUUGAUGUUCUAACGUUGGCCCCUGAUCGGGGUUGCGGACAGUGUCUGGUGGGUAGUUUGACUGGGGCGGUCUCCUCCUAAAGAGUAACGGAGGAGCACGAAGGUUGGCUAAUCCUGGUCGGACAUCAGGAGGUUAGUGCAAUGGCAUAAGCCAGCUUGACUGCGAGCGUGACGGCGCGAGCAGGUGCGAAAGCAGGUCAUAGUGAUCCGGUGGUUCUGAAUGGAAGGGCCAUCGCUCAACGGAUAAAAGGUACUCCGGGGAUAACAGGCUGAUACCGCCCAAGAGUUCAUAUCGACGGCGGUGUUUGGCACCUCGAUGUCGGCUCAUCACAUCCUGGGGCUGAAGUAGGUCCCAAGGGUAUGGCUGUUCGCCAUUUAAAGUGGUACGCGAGCUGGGUUUAGAACGUCGUGAGACAGUUCGGUCCCUAUCUGCCGUGGGCGCUGGAGAACUGAGGGGGGCUGCUCCUAGUACGAGAGGACCGGAGUGGACGCAUCACUGGUGUUCGGGUUGUCAUGCCAAUGGCACUGCCCGGUAGCUAAAUGCGGAAGAGAUAAGUGCUGAAAGCAUCUAAGCACGAAACUUGCCCCGAGAUGAGUUCUCCCUGAGACUUUAAGUCUCCUGAAGGAACGUUGAAGACGACGACGUUGAUAGGCCGGGUGUGUAAGCGCAGCGAUGCGUUGAGCUAA